rnacentral:rRNA from 1 species
CAGUCAUACCAACGGGAAAUCAACCUUUUGAGCUUGGUUUCGUGGGUUUUGAAGAGUUUCAAAGCCUUCGGAUUCGCGAGAUUGGGAUCUCUCGGUGUACUUUCUCGUACGGUUAGUCAACAUCGGUUUUGAAUGUCAUAAAAUGACUGGAGGAAUGUAGCUUCGAUCUCGUAUUGAAGUGUUAUAGCCUUUGGUAGAUGAGAUGUUUGAGACCGAGGAUUGCAACGGAUACCCUUCAGGGCUAUUCGUCUGAUCUCUGAUACGUUGCCUUGAUGUUGAAAGCUUGCUUAUGAUGUUAGGGUAUUACGGUCAAAAGGUUAGAACGAAUUACA